CCAGCACGCUCAGCUUCACACCUGCUCAGCUGCUUUCCAAAUAGGCCUCACACCUUUAAAAAGAUAAUAGAUGUUUUCUUUAUCAUCACCUCUGGAAAAAUUCUUAAUAAAAGCCGAGAUUAAUACAUAUAUAUUAUAAAUAGCUCAGCGGCACCAGACAAACAGCUUUCACACUCCAAAGCCUUAUUUCAGGAAAGCGAGCACUCUGACUGCAAGACGCAGACCACUAUUGAUUGCUGGUCCCAUAAAUCACAUUUAUUUUCCAAAUAAUAGGAAGAUUCAUUGUUUUCUGCCAAGCAUUGUCACCUUGUAAUAGAAACCAGUCAAAGCAACAGUAAUUUUCACACCAUAAAAACAGUAUCAAGUCUGUUCACUGAGCAGGAUGAGCGCUAUCGACUGGGGAGGGAGGGAGGGAAAAGAAAAACAGGAGACAAAAACGAAGAAAUUAAGUAAUGAUGUAUAGGGCCUGUAAUGAAAGGUCUGUUAACAUUUCCAUUAUUCAGCAUCCCUCCCCAGAGGCCUCCUGUGAAACAUUUAUAGCCCUGUUAGCAAACCCUCUCCUCAAAGCAGGGCUGCAAGGGGUUCAUGGUGGGACACCGAGGUGUCAGCGAAGGGGAGGCCAAACCCUUGCAUGGUCGCUGUUUAUUGACACCCAACAAAAAAGCCCCAGAACUUUUGACUAAAUUGAGUUUUUCUGCUGCAGAGAGACAUAGGGCUAAGGGAAUGGGGGCUGCAGAAGGGUCACCAUCAGGGGAGAUCACAGGGUGGUGACAGAGGAUACAGAUCUGCCUCUACCUGCCCCACGUCUGUCCCCGCUCUCAGGGCACCUGCUGAGGUUGCCCACAUUAAAAUUAAAUAGCACUGCAGGAGAAGUUGGACGUACAAAUCCUUAUUAUUAAAAUUCACCAAAGCAUUAAAAAAAAAAAAAACCAACACCGUCUCCAUGUCUCCAGAGCAGCUCACAUAGAUCAGAUACUUGCAAACUGGCCAGCUAGGAGGUUUGCUUGCACCGCCCCGGCAAAGCCAUGAGUAUUUCAGCAGGAGGCAAAGCAGGUGGCUGAAGGUCUCAGCAGAGGUGGAGGAGACUGAGACCCAUGUCCCGAGGAGCUUGGCCUCCACCAGCACCAGUUCCAUCACUCACUGUGACCCAUCACCCAUUACAUCCCAUAGACACAGAUCCAUACCCCAUGCUAGGACAGCAUCCUGAAGGAUCCUGUCUGCUGCUGCUUAGUGGCUGUGUGGAGGGUUAGCACCAUGCCAGCAGUGCAGCCAGCAGUAAAGGGAACGAAAAGCUGACCUAGAGUGCCCUGUGAGCUUUUCUGCCUGUCACUGGGCAUCUGUCACUCUGUAUUAUAUCAAAAAGCAUAGGGCCAGUCUCUAACCCCCUGAAUCUCCAAAUCAAGCCUUCAUACUCUUAGUUCUACAGCAACGACAGAUGAUGGUAUCAUCACCCUUUUCUAGUCAAUGUCAGCAGAAAGUAGCCCUAAAAUAAAGGCAAACCAUCCUCUCUGCUUGGAGAGGCAGUCUCUUCCUGAUGACUCCUGUUUCUGAGCAAGGUUAACCCACGGUAACAAGAGGCUGAUGACUUUUCUGGGUGGAAAAUAGACUCUGAGGCAACUCCUUGUUAGCAACUUUAACAAAACAUUGCUAAACCACAGACCUGAACUUAUCAGCUAACUAGUCUAGGAAAAACUUAGUAAUCUCUGCAUGAACCAGCAGUUGUUUCAUAAUUGUGCUGGUAGAAACACCUAAGCUCUCCAGCUCUCUCAGCUGACACAUCACAAUAAAACAUGAUAGGAGGUGACUCAUUACCAUCGUGUUCUAUCACAUCCCAGCUCCUAAUGCAACCUGGGACCUGCAUUGCAAGUUAGCUGAAUAAUAUUUUCCUAAACAGUCAUGACAGAAAAAUCUGUGGUUCCGAGGGAGGUCGUGUUGUUGAUUAACCACCACCACCAAACCUGAAUCCUGCUGAGAAAGAGGAGGCCCUGGGCUCAGGUGCACACAAAAAUCUCCCUGCAAAACACAGCAGGGCUACCUCAGGAGCACAGCAAGCAGAGAUUACCUAGUGUUUGCACUGGGAUGGAGACCCAGUUGGGUGAAAUUGUAUUUAAAGUGGAGAUGGAUCUGAAUCAGAACUACAGAUCCAGACACAACAUUCUGGGGGUUGGACCCAGCUAGGCAAUGGGCCAAUAUUGACUUUGCACUUUAAGAAUCAUGGUUUGAUGUCCUGCGCCCUCUCAUCUCUGCAGAUCCUCCCUACCUAUCGCUGAUACUUCCCCAUGACUAAAACCCCAGCUGUUUAUGAUUUCCCAGAUGAAGUCAGUGCCCCUGGAACCUGGUAAGCGAACUCUUAUUUUGCCUUGCAUAUGCAAAAUGGAAGGAAUUUUGCCUUCCCUGUGCAAAAUGUGCUGAAGGGUGUUGGGAAAGCCACAGCCCCGAUUUCUACAACUGGGAAAAACCCUUUGCACAUUGGACAAAAUGGGUCAGGAAGUGGAAAAGCAGUUGCAGUGCCAGAUGCAAUGCUGCAGAAAUUGGGGACGUGUGGAUUCGCACAGGCUGUGCCUCCAGGUGCUGCCUACAGGGACAUGUCACACCAAGAGCAAGGCAGCUUCCCAAGGGGACCCAACCCAUCUCUCUGCUUGGCAGUGCUCGUACGGCCAGCACUGGGCUUCCAUAGGAGGUGGCAAACUGGUGGUGGCACCUCCAGGCACGUGGAGCUGGGGAUAGCCAACACCUGCAGCCCAAGGAGGAACAAGUGGCUGCAGGAGUUGUGUGGGGUCAGGAGCAGUGUGUCCCAUCUGCUGCCAGUGCCCCGUGACACAUCUUCAUCCGAGGCGGGGUGAAGGAAGGUGAAGGUGUGUUGGACUUCUGCAAACACCAACCCUGCAAUGAGCUCAAGCAUCCUCGUUGCGGAUCCCGGGAAUCUGGAGGCAUCGGAGGCGGCUCUCAGGGGUCAGUCUCCUCUUCCCGCAUCCCAGGCUUUACUCAGUGGCAUUUCUCUGUCUGUCAGCCCGACACAGGGUGUUAGCGAGUUGCUGAAAUGCUAGUCAUGCUCGUCUGGGCGGUCGUCACAAUUUAUAGAGCUGAGUUUAACGAGCUUUCCUAACCUGAGAGGAUGAUCAAAGGUAGUGAAUGGCUUUCCUGCGAGGAGUGAUGAAGCACGCCGGACCUCUUGGGUCAUAAAAGAGUUAACCAAAGCCUGACAGGAGUGAAACCUGGAAGUCAUGGAAGAGGUGAAUGAGGAUGUGAUGUUCCCAGUGUCUUACAACGUAAGGGUGGAGGAAACCAAUGUGGAAUGGUUGAAAACAGAGGGGAUAUGACCUCACCCAACAGAUUCCUUGCUGUAGGAUUUUGUGGGUAUUAUGCAGAUUCCCAGGUUAAGAGGCAACUGAGCAAAUCAAUGGAAACAAAAAUCAGGCAACGGAAAAACUCCAUUUCCGGAUCCAGGAGCCUCUGACCCAGAGAGUGCCAAAGCUGGGAAAACAUUAGGGUGAAGCAUAAUUACACACUCAACUUGUUCUUGUGCUCUCCCCUAGGCAUCCACCAUUAGUCACUAUCAAAGAUAGGCCAGUGGGACAGAGCUGACAAAUCACUUUUCUGAGUAUAAAACAUGACUCACAGCAGCGGGAAGGAUCUGGUGCUGGUUACCUCCUUGCCUUGCAUCCCGAAGUGUUAAGCCCAAGUUGUCACAUCACCACCAGCACGGCAGGUUGUGGCUUGCCUCUGCUGCCAGGAGCACGUCGUGCACCUCUGGUGCGCAUCCCCUCCAGGUACCGUGGGAAGAGUCUGCCUGGUGCUCCUUAAUGACUUCUUAAAGCUCAGUCAUGCUCUGAGUGCUCGGGGUAUUAAAGGAGCUUAUAUUAUCCCUUGGUCUCACGUAGCAAUAUGCAGCCAGCACUGCUCCACUGAGGACAUUCAAACAUCCAAAGCUGUCACACGGCACACCUCCAGAAUUCAGACAGAAACACGAGUUUCAUGAAUUUUAGCUUAAUACAUUUCCGAGAUGCGUUUGCCUACUGGGUUUGGAGCAAUCUACUGUGUUCUACUGUUACCUUUCAUCUUAAAAUCCUAGAACCAAAUUUUGCUGUUAAAGUAAGGAAAUUCUCCCGAGCCUAACUCUUUAGUAUUGAGAUAAUGUAAAAAUAACACUUCCCAAACCACAAGACUUCAUUAUAUUGCAACCACUGGCAGCCUAACGAACAAGCGAGCUAUUCUGCAUUAACCGAAGGAUGAGCACUUCCCAAACAAGGGAUGGAAAAAAUGAUGUGUGCUAUGUAAGUAGAAAGGUGUAUGUGCAUGCCAACGGAAACAGGCAUCGAAGAGAAGCAAUCGAACACCCAGGCAGUACACUGAGGCCUCGUUCCAUCCUUGGGGACGUUCUAAAAAAUCGGUGACCACUUCCAGGCAGACAUGGAGGCGUUUUCCUGAAACCAAAGCAUUCAGACUCGUUAUGAGAGCAGGUGUUCUGGUUUUCCUCUCACAUUCACUUCUUGCUUUUUGGGGUUGCUUUUGGCAACAUGGUGCUUCCUGGAAGAAGGAAGUAAGAAAGUUUGGGAUGCUUGAUGCUGCAGUUCAAGAUAUGUAGAAUGAGGUGAGCAGUCUCUACCUGUGAGGAGAGCAGCGAGGUAACCUAACCCCACACUUGGAAAUGGCAGCUCAGAGCAGCUCAGCCUCUUUGGCCAUGCUUCUUCUGCUGUCCAGAAUUAACAGCCAGUGUCAGAAGGCACCAGCAAGCUCCUUAACACACCUGACACUUCCCAACACGCCACCUGAACCCUUUCUGCUAGAAAAACCUGUGAGAAGUCCAGGUGUGCUGACACAAGGCAGCUGAAUCUAUUACAGGUUCAAAUGUGAACAUUUAAUAAAUCUGAGCAUCUGUGGAUCUCUUUAAGUGCCCUGUUUUAAUUUUAAUCAGUGGAGAAGAAAAAAAUCCUUGCCCUGCUUUCAAUUUUCAGCGCUACAGGUAGCAAUGAGCAGAGUUUUGCAACUAAUGAUAAAAAAUCUCUUCAGACCAGAUUCCAACCUACUCACUGGGAAAAGGAGAAUUAAAUAUAGCUAAUCAUGGGUGAUUGUACCAUUCCCCCGUCAACAUGGAAGGAAGGGAGUAAGAUGCUUCCUAGGAAAGCUAAAGUGAGAAGGAGACAGAGCACUAAAAUAUUAGCUAAGUUUGGACAUAAGGGAGCAAGACUGCACAUCUGAGGUCUGAAAUGCAGCAAGGACUAACCUGAGCAUCCCAGGAAUGAACGGUCCUGUGCAACUGGCAAAUACAAAAGAGGAAGGAGGAGGAAGGGAAAUGAAUGUAUUUCUAAGUAUAUAGAAGUAUAUAUUUCAUAAACAAUGAAAUUCAGUACAGUUACAAGCUGAUCCCGCCACUUGAUAGGCAUCGCUUUGGUGGCACAUGGCUGGAAAUGUUCACGAAGAUGUGGGCACGUCACACGUUUCAGGCAUCGUUGGAGAAAUGGGCAGUUUCAUGCUUUCCUAACACUUAUUACAUAUCUUUUGGGUAUCCGACUCUUUUCAGAAGGAGCACCUUUGGGAUGUGUUAUUUCAAACAAUGCACACAAAGGAUCAUGAGAUCGUUCUGAAAUUUGCCAAGCUAAGAAAGAAAAACAGAGCUUUGUCUUACCUUUUAGGAGCGGUGCUUACAGGUCGGGAAGCUGCCCAGAGAGGUGGGCACCAGCACUAAUCAGAGACUGGGCAGAAACUUGAAAAAUAUAUUUUUAUCACUUUGACACCAACACUCUCUGAGAUCAUUUAUUUAACAUCAAAGUCUUGCCAAACCUCGGUUCAAAGAGCAGGCUGCACACCUCUAAAAGGUGUGAAAAAACCAACUGAAUUCAAACCAUUUUCACAGUGGCGUCUUCCAAGUGAGGAGCAGGAGCCCUUAUCUCUCCCCGUUUCGCUUGUUUGCGAUUGUGUCCUCCUAUCUGAAGAUAAAACUGUUUUGUUUUCAGUGUAACAUUUUAAUUAUGCUGUUUCUCAACUCGCUGCGUGUUCUUUACCCUAAUAAUUUAACUUUCUCAUGGGAUUCUAAAAGGGAUUGAAAACACUUCGGAUCUGUGAGCCCAGGUGGCUGCUCUGUAACGAAUCGUUUUGCAACACAUUUUAUACAUGACGCCAGGUCUGUAUUUAGACUAGCUCUGUUUCCGUCCUCAGCUCUUCCAUACACGUGUUGUAGGAUAGUCAGAAACCUUUUUGUACCUUUCAUAAUACAUUUGUUCACAGCCACUCAUGGGCCAGCGCUAUCUUUUAUCAGUUGUGGCGUCUCACGCCCACCUGCAUUUUUCCUGCCCCAUAUCAUCACGCAGCCUUCACCCUUGGCAGAUGGAUGCAGAGGGAUACAGAGACCUCGUGAGAUGUGCGUCUGCUCAUACACACGCGGCAGACACGGCACAGGCUGUCCUGCAUCACCCAGCAUGUCGCGAUACCCCAGCUGACAGCCCUGCUCCAUGGUACUCCUUGAAGCAGUUGCCUUUCAGUUAAUGCCCAGAAAUAACCGGGCUGAGGGAAGGAAUCGUGCUCGAUGGCCAUGGGCCCACAUUGCUUAAUUUCUGGGCAAGCUUAGGCAGAUUCUAGGUAGUUACAGGAAAGAUGAUGCCCGUGAUUCCUUCCUCCAAGGACUCUGCGUUUCCCAGGAGCUUCUCCCAAGGUAGCACAGCUGCAAGCAGGCGCCCACAUUUCUGGGGGGUGCCCUCAGUGAGAUGGGCAUCUCAAGGGGCUGGGCAGCCAUUAAGGGGCAAAGCUGCAGUUUUCUGCAGUUUUGUACUCUGGUGCAGGGGUACAUACAGUUCACCUAGGUUCUCCUUGGGUAUGGCCCCCAACAAAGCCAUGCCCAGAUCCCAGAUGAUGUGGCAGUGCCUACACGCAGGCUUCAUAAAGUGCUCAGGCUUCCUAACCAACCACGAGCCCACCUGCAGGCCUCCUAAUUAAGGCUCUGUCCUCCUUCUUCAGGCCUAAUGCAGGGAUGGGACUCGGGAAUAUAUUUACGUACCCAAAUGACGGUCUGCUCUAACUCUUCAAGGCACAUUCCUGAUCUGCAGCCACGCUGUCCUGUGACGUGAGGCUGCCCACAGCACAGGGACAGCCCGGGGAGACCAGUCCUAGGCUGGCGUCACCUCUCCCUUCCUCCACCUCUCCUCCUUCUCCAAGGAAGGCACCAUUUUCCCCACAACAAGGAGCUUAAUAGCUUAAAAUUAGCGCACAUAUUAAUGGGGACUUCUCCCCAAAGGGGGAAGGGCUUUAAAUGGGAUGCAAUUCAAAGAGCUGUGCAUUUCUCUGUAUGAUCCUUGUAUGCAAUGUGCAGGCUCCGUUUGAUGUGUAUGCUCCUGUGGUGAUAUUUCCAGCCAGAAGGAACCCUGGCUUUCCAGUAUCAGCCAUUUGGCAUGGGGACUCUAUCGACUUGCUCAUGGAUGUAGCAGAAGGCAUCGCGUGAGAUGCACGAAAACCAGUUCCUGCUCUGCGUCACCUCCUCUCCUCCAGGCUUGCAGCACCACACAACUUGCCAGCGGACUUGCCUGUACAGUGCAGAACCAGCACCACAUCUACCCAGUGCACUUACAAACCUAAACUCAAAGGUAGCACGCACUUCCCUCAAAUAACCAAAAGCAAACCAUGCCGUGAGGUGGCAGGAGGGAUCCCGUAGCUCAGCGAUGCUCUGCCACUGGGAACCAGCGUGGUCCAGGGAACGGGGCCGCACCGAGAGGACAAGCCCCUCAGCGAGACACCUCGGACCCAGGCUGCGAGUCAGAGGAGCGGCCAGGAAGGGCUCAGCUCUGCCUGUCUGGAAAUAUUUCUGUUCUCCAUUUGGUCUGCAGGCAGCGGGACAUGACCCUGAAGGAAGCCACCUCACUGCAGCGCCCGGUGCUCCAGCCGUUUAGCACCAACAGCAAAAUUAGGAUGGGAAAAGGAAACAGCGUGAGGUCAGAGGGUUACGGUAACCAGAGCGCUUUGAAGUCAGGCUGUGGCUUCAGGUGCCUCGAGUCAGAGCUCCUCCCAAGUGCAAUUACAGCUGUGCCACAGCAGAGCUGCAGUUCCGCAAUUUAAGACUUCAGGAGAGCCACACUUGUUUGGGCUAAAAUCACUUCAGACACUAGCAAAAGCUGGAGCAUUAGAGGAAAUACACUCCCUUGCAGCAAAGGAAAACUGCUCCUAGGUUAUCACUCCAGCUCCUACGCUGUACCAACAGCAUUACUUCACCUUCUGCAAUCAUCUGAGUCAAGAGCCAGGAUAUUUGUUUAGAAAUUCUGCCAUGAGUGAUUAGCCUGUGCAAAGUUAGAGUGGAAACCAGUUUUAUUGUUUAAGGAAGAGAAAAGCUGCCAGUGCUUUGUGGAAUUGCAAAUGACGUGGUGUUUUCCCCGUGCCCUGCCACCCUCCUGAGAUACAGCCCCAUCCUGGGGGACACUGCCUGAACAUCUCAAUAAAAACCCCACCCACGAAGG